rnacentral:lncRNA from 1 species
AGUUACCUCCAUUUUCAUGAUUAGCCACCAGUGAUGUCAAAACAUGGAUCAAUAAACGAAGAGUCCAGUUGUACAACAUUAUUCUUCAUUUUAUCGAUAUAGGGUAAUCCAGGAGUAGUUGAAUACUGUGACAACUAUGAGUCAUCUGCAUACCGCUGCCAUGGUAAUAUUCCUGUAUGGGGCAUAUCACAUGCGGGCCAUGUACUUCCUGCUGGAAACCAAGCUUUAUAUAAAAUAUCAGUUUAUGAAGUUUGUACCAUUAUGGACAAGUCCAGACAUUUAUCAAAGAACAAUUGCAAGCAAUGAAAUGAGGUUUCUGGUUGUUCCAUCCAUUGAUGAAUCAUCUGAAGACAUUUUACCAAUAUGAACAGCUUAUCUAAAUGAAGAUAUCUUUAUGAUGUUUCCAACAACAGAAUGGCAGUGUCAGUGUAUGCCAGUUUUAAAAUAUACCUGUCCUGGCUUGCACUGUUUUGUCUUGGUAUUUUACCUCAAACUGCAAUUAAGUGGCAUGUAUGAUUGCCAUUAUUUUCAAGACAAGACACAAUGUAUUUAUUCAAUAACAGAAGGUUUGAUAAACUUGUAUUGUGCAAGUUGUUCCUUGUUCAUGACUAUUUAAGGUGGUAGAGCUGGACAAAAAUCGAGUUGCGAGUCAUUUGGAUUACUUCAGUUUUUAUCUCCCACAUUCUGUCCACUGAUGUCAGCCUCAUCAUAAGAAAGAUUUUUUAAAAGCAUUUCCAAAGUUUGAUGUCUGUAUCUCUGAGAAUGGAUAUAGUCAUGAUAAAAGUAUCUACUUGGCAGAUUUUUUUUUUUGAAAACACAUGCAUCAGUGAUAUUGGAAUAUUGUUCAGACAUCACUUUUGUUUUAGAAGACAGUGCUUGAUGUGUGCUUAAUAAUGCUACGUGCAAAUAUAGAACUAUUCAUACAGAGAUGCAACCUAAGGUACAUGCAAAUGGAGAACUAUCUAUACAUACUUAUAUACUGUUAAUACACUACUUGCAGAUUAAGAACUCUUCUUAUAGAAAUGCAGCUUUUUUAUACAAUAUAAUUAUGCAGAUGGAGAACCAUUCAUUUGGAAUUAUAGCUUAUGCUACUUGUGGAUGGAGAACUAUUUGUUUGGAAUAUAGCUUAUGCUACUUGUGGAUGGAGAACUAUUGAUUUGGAAAUAUAGCUUAUGCUACUUGUGGAUGGAGAACUAUGAUUUGGAAAUAUAGCUUAUGCUGCUUGUGGAUGGAGAACUAUUGAUUUGGAAAUAUAGCUUAUGCUACUUGCAGAUGGAGAACUAUUGAUUUGGAAUAUAGCUUAUGCUACUUGUGGAUGGAGAACUAUUGAUUUGGAAAUAUAGCUUAUGCUACUUGUGGAUGCAGAACUAUUGAUUUGGAAAUAUAGCUUAUGCUACUUGUGGAUGGAGAACUAUUGA